AAGACCAAAAAGAUCUUUA
rnacentral:snRNA from 1 species